GAAUUAAAAGAUUUAUCGGGUAUAGGAUGGGGAUGCGUCUGAUUAGCUUGUUGGUGAGGUAACGGCUCACCAAGGCCACGAUCAGUAGGGGUUCUGAGAGGAAGGUCCCCCACAUUGGAACUGAGACACGGUCCAAACUCCUACGGGAGGCAGCAGUGAGGAAUAUUGGUCAAUGGGCGAGAGCCUGAACCAGCCAAGUAGCGUGCAGGACGACGGCCCUAUGGGUUGUAAACUGCUUUUAUGUGGGGAUAAAGUGCGUGACGUGUCAUGCAUUGCAGGUACCACAUGAAUAAGGACCGGCUAAUUCCGUGCCAGCAGCCGCGGUAAU
rnacentral:rRNA from 1 species